GACAGAGGAGGCAAGCGUUAUCCGGAAUUAUUGGGCGUAAAGCGUCCGUAGGUGGUUUGACAAGUCUGGGGUUAAAGCCCGGAGCCCAACUCCGGAUCGGCCCUGGAAACUGUCAGACUUGAGUAAGGAAGGAGUUGCGGGAAUUCCCGGUGUAGCGGUGAAAUGCGUAGAUAUCGGGAAGAACACCAGCGGCGAAAGCGCGCAACUGGGCCAUUACUGACACUGAUGGACGAAAGCUAGGGGAGCGAAUGGG
rnacentral:rRNA from 1 species